GUGCCAGCCGCCGCGGUAAAACGUAGGACGCGAGCGUUAUCCGGAUUUACUGGGCGUAAAGCACAUGCAGGCGGCCUUGUAAGUCGGAUGUGAAAUCUCCCGGCUCAACUGGGAGGCGUCAUUCGAUACUGCAAGGCUUGAGGGCAUGAGAGGGGAGUGGAAUUCCCGGUGUAGUGGUGAAAUGCGUAGAUAUCGGGAGGAACACCAGUGGCGAAGGCGGCUCCCUGGCCUGUACCUGACGCUAAGAUGCGAAAGUGUGGGGAGCGAACGGGAUUAGAAACCCCGGUAGUCCACGCCGUAAACGAUGUCGACUAGGUGUUGGGGCGGAGAGCCUCAGCGCCGCAGCCAACGCGAUAAGUCGACCGCCUGGGGAGUACGGCCGCAAGGCUAAAACUUAAAUGAAUUGACGGGG
rnacentral:rRNA from 1 species